rnacentral:lncRNA from 1 species
GUGAACUUGGUCUUGGCUGGAUGUUCUUGCUGAUCUUCUGGGGGAGGGGCCUGUUGCCGUGAUUCUCAGCUGUCUCUGCCCAGAGGUGGAAUUGCACCGCCCUUGCCAGGAGCCGGACUAAGCGGUUCUCGCUGGGGAGGUUUUGUUCCCUGAGCGCUUUCCGUAGAGCUCUGGAGGGCCGGAAUGAAGAUGGCGGCGCCCAGUCUCUGGCUGGAGGAGCUGAGAGCUUGGGGCCCCACUCCUCAGUGCACCCUCGGAGAAAAGCCGUCAAUCCCUCCCGUCCCCCUGGUCUCCGGCCACGCUCCAAGCUCACCCAGCCUGUGACCGAGCGUUUCUGUCUCUGGCGCUCGGCCCUGUUUGGAGUCUCCAAACCCAGCAGAUUCCUGCCAUGCUCCUCCCAGAGGAAGAAUGGCUUUGCAGUGCAAUGCAGCCACGCUCUGCCUCCCCACCUGGACCCUUCUGGGUACCAACUGCUCUCUGACCUGUGGCUGGGGCACCUGUCGGCUCCUUCCCUCCUGAUGUCGCUUCCUGCACACAUCUACUUAUUUCCAGCUUUUUACCUCAUGCUAUCCAUACCUUAAAAGCUUUUAUUUCUCCCCCAGUUCUCGAAUUUCCAAGUAAAACAUAUAAUUCUAGC